GUGAGGUGGAGCUGCCGGGCCGGAGGGGCAGAGCUAAGGGGAGAGCAGGAGCCUGGCUGGGCUGGGAGCGGGGCCAGAGGAGCAGCCCUGGGAGCUGAGAUGGAGGCAGGGUAGUCUCACCUGGGUGGAGACAGAUACCAGGAACUGGCUUCCCACACAAGGAAAUAAACUGGGACUGGACUGUGCCAAGCCCAUAUAGGUCACUGAGCCACCGCCCCUCCUCGUGACCCAGCCCCCGCCAGGUUCCUUCGAGGGGGUUUCCCAGACCCCGGGAUCCGGGUUGUUUCCUCGUUCCAUCCGGGAGGACUGAUUUAUUGUCAGACAGUGUGUGCUGGGAGCUGGAGCGUGGCAGGA